GUAAUAGCUCACUGGUCGAGUCGGCCUGCGCGGAAGAUGUAACGGGGCUAAACCAUGCACCGAAGCUGCGGCAGCGACACUGUGUGUUGUUGGGUAGGGGAGCGUUCUGUAAGCCUGCGAAGGUGUCCCGUGAGGGAUGCUGGAGGUAUCAGAAGUGCGAAUGCUGACAUAAGUAACGAUAAAGCGGGUGAAAAGCCCGCUCGCCGGAAGACCA
rnacentral:rRNA from 2 species